UAAGCUAUGACUUCUGCUACAUAAUAGAAACAGAAGUACCUACAUGACUACACGUUGCUUCACGGCCUGCUUUAUAGUUAGUUGUUAUCAUGUCAACCGCAAAAUGACACUAAAUGAAUAUUGCUUUAAACGAUACUUUGGAUAACUAAUACGAGAGCAUUCCAAGUUUUCCAAAGUAUAAACAGCAUACCCGUCUACUGUUUGGGGCGCUGUUCACUGGUUUACCUAAGGUCGAUAACACCAUAUUUACCGUUACACUCUCUCUCUCUCUCUCUCCACGCACACAAGAAUGAGCGAAGACGCAAGUGAACAGUGCUAAUCAAGUGAUCUUUUCAGACCUGUAAUUUUCUACUGCAGAGCAAAUCGAAACUACUCAGUAACGGAUAUAUCCGUGGCUACGCAGGUGCCUGAACUUGAACGAAAGUGAAAUGUGCAACACGCGAGUGACUAGUCACGCAGAAAGCAGCCAUGAAGGGGCUGUUUCUUCGGAAUCCUCGAAGCAAGCGAGCAAAACUUUAGCACGAACGGGACACAGCUCCAUUUCCGCAUGGGUACGAAAUCUUCUGGCAUUUUUUUCUAUAGUUGAACAAAUUACUUCAGCGACAUCACACACGGAGCACCUCCUCAAAGCAGAACGCCAGGAGCUAGCUAUUCAGUGGGCUCCAAUUGUGUGGUUACAUUCAAAGGAGCAAUUUUAUCCAAGUUCGGUUGUGAAUUUUCUACGGCACGUUAAACCAAGCAAAUAUGGAAAAGGAAAAUUUUUGGCUAUGAACAACGGUGAAACUGAAGUGAUAUUGCCAUCACUUCCACGAAGACGGCAGAGCUGGGAUACCUAUCUACUGGCUUCUUAUAAUGUAG